rnacentral:rRNA from 2 species
UCGAACGAACUCUGGUAUUGAUUGGUGCUUGCAUCAUGAUUUACAUUUGAGUGAGUGGCGAACUGGUGAGUAACACGUGGGAAACCUGCCCAGAAGCGGGGGAUAACACCUGGAAACAGAUGCUAAUACCGCAUAACAACUUGGACCGCAUGGUCCGAGCUUGAAAGAUGGCUUCGGCUAUCACUUUUGGAUGGUCCCGCGGCGUAUUAGCUAGAUGGUGGGGUAACGGCUCACCAUGGCAAUGAUACGUAGCCGACCUGAGAGGGUAAUCGGCCACAUUGGGACUGAGACACGGCCCAAACUCCUACGGGAGGCAGCAGUAGGGAAUCUUCCACAAUGGACGAAAGUCUGAUGGAGCAACGCCGCGUGAGUGAAGAAGGGUUUCGGCUCGUAAAACUCUGUUGUUAAAGAAGAACAUAUCUGAGAGUAACUGUUCAGGUAUUGACGGUAUUUAACCAGAAAGCCACGGCUAACUACGUGCCAGCAGCCGCGGUAAUACGUAGGUGGCAAGCGUUGUCCGGAUUUAUUGGGCGUAAAGCGAGCGCAGGCGGUUUUUUAAGUCUGAUGUGAAAGCCUUCGGCUCAACCGAAGAAGUGCAUCGGAAACUGGGAAACUUGAGUGCAGAAGAGGACAGUGGAACUCCAUGUGUAGCGGUGAAAUGCGUAGAUAUAUGGAAGAACACCAGUGGCGAAGGCGGCUGUCUGGUCUGUAACUGACGCUGAGGCUCGAAAGUAUGGGUAGCAAACAGGAUUAGAUACCCUGGUAGUCCAUACCGUAAACGAUGAAUGCUAAGUGUUGGAGGGUUUCCGCCCUUCAGUGCUGCAGCUAACGCAUUAAGCAUUCCGCCU